CUGGUGGAACUAGUAUUCUUUUGUCCAUUAGAGUAUUCAAAGUCAGAAUCAUCAGCAGUAAGAGGAGCUCUAAUACCUGUAAAAACAGGGACCUUUGCAGGAGGUGGGGUCCCUUGUAUUGUGGAAAGUGGAACACCAUAAAUCUUUGAAUCCAUGGUCACAAGUCACAACAAUAAUUCUUUUCUUUAGUCCCUACCUUUCUUUAUAUAA
rnacentral:lncRNA from 1 species